GUCCUAUGCUGCCUGGGAUAGGGUCCAGCCGCCCCCCCGAUGACCCCGACUAGCUUAAGUGUGGUGAGACAUGCAUUCACAAACCACAAAAGAACAAAACAAGCUGUGACUGAGAGACAUUUUGUGGCAGAUCGCACCAUUCCUGGUGUU